GGGUUGUGAGGUUAAGCGACUAAGCGUACACGGUGGAUGCCCUGGCAGUCAGAGGCGAUGAAGGACGUGCUAAUCUGCGAUAAGCGUCGGUAAGGUGAUAUGAACCGUUAUAACCGGCGAUUUCCGAAUGGGGAAACCCAGUGUGAUUCGUCACACUAUCAUUAACUGAAUCCAUAGGUUAAUGAGGCGAACCGGGGGAACUGAAACAUCUAAGUACCCCGAGGAAAAGAAAUCAACCGAGAUUCCCCCAGUAGCGGCGAGCGAACGGGGAGCAGCCCAGAGCCUGAAUCAGUGUGUGUGUUAGUGGAAGCGUCUGGAAAGGCGCGCGAUACAGGGUGACAGCCCCGUACACAAAAAUGCACAUGCUGUGAGCUCGAUGAGUAGGGCGGGACACGUGGUAUCCUGUCUGAAUAUGGGGGGACCAUCCUCCAAGGCUAAAUACUCCUGACUGACCGAUAGUGAACCAGUACCGUGAGGGAAAGGCGAAAAGAACCCCGGCGAGGGGAGUGAAAAAGAACCUGAAACCGUGUACGUACAAGCAGUGGGAGCACGCUUAGGCGUGUGACUGCGUACCUUUUGUAUAAUGGGUCAGCGACUUAUAUUCUGUAGCAAGGUUAACCGAAUAGGGGAGCCGAAGGGAAACCGAGUCUUAACUGGGCGUUAAGUUGCAGGGUAUAGACCCGAAACCCGGUGAUCUAGCCAUGGGCAGGUUGAAGGUUGGGUAACACUAACUGGAGGACCGAACCGACUAAUGUUGAAAAAUUAGCGGAUGACUUGUGGCUGGGGGUGAAAGGCCAAUCAAACCGGGAGAUAGCUGGUUCUCCCCGAAAGCUAUUUAGGUAGCGCCUCGUGAAUUCAUCUCCGGGGGUAGAGCACUGUUUCGGCAAGGGGGUCAUCCCGACUUACCAACCCGAUGCAAACUGCGAAUACCGGAGAAUGUUAUCACGGGAGACACACGGCGGGUGCUAACGUCCGUCGUGAAGAGGGAAACAACCCAGACCGCCAGCUAAGGUCCCAAAGUCAUGGUUAAGUGGGAAACGAUGUGGGAAGGCCCAGACAGCCAGGAUGUUGGCUUAGAAGCAGCCAUCAUUUAAAGAAAGCGUAAUAGCUCACUGGUCGAGUCGGCCUGCGCGGAAGAUGUAACGGGGCUAAACCAUGCACCGAAGCUGCGGCAGCGACGCUUAUGCGUUGUUGGGUAGGGGAGCGUUCUGUAAGCCUGUGAAGGUGUACUGUGAGGUAUGCUGGAGGUAUCAGAAGUGCGAAUGCUGACAUAAGUAACGAUAAAGCGGGUGAAAAGCCCGCUCGCCGGAAGACCAAGGGUUCCUGUCCAACGUUAAUCGGGGCAGGGUGAGUCGACCCCUAAGGCGAGGCCGAAAGGCGUAGUCGAUGGGAAACAGGUUAAUAUUCCUGUACUUGGUGUUACUGCGAAGGGGGGACGGAGAAGGCUAUGUUGGCCGGGCGACGGUUGUCCCGGUUUAAGCGUGUAGGCUGGUUUUCCAGGCAAAUCCGGAAAAUCAAGGCCGAGGCGUGAUGACGAGGCACUACGGUGCUGAAGCAACAAAUGCCCUGCUUCCAGGAAAAGCCUCUAAGCAUCAGGUAACAUCAAAUCGUACCCCAAACCGACACAGGUGGUCAGGUAGAGAAUACCAAGGCGCUUGAGAGAACUCGGGUGAAGGAACUAGGCAAAAUGGUGCCGUAACUUCGGGAGAAGGCACGCUGAUACGUAGGUGAAGCGACUUGCUCGUGGAGCUGAAAUCAGUCGAAGAUACCAGCUGGCUGCAACUGUUUAUUAAAAACACAGCACUGUGCAAACACGAAAGUGGACGUAUACGGUGUGACGCCUGCCCGGUGCCGGAAGGUUAAUUGAUGGGGUUAGCGCAAGCGAAGCUCUUGAUCGAAGCCCCGGUAAACGGCGGCCGUAACUAUAACGGUCCUAAGGUAGCGAAAUUCCUUGUCGGGUAAGUUCCGACCUGCACGAAUGGCGUAAUGAUGGCCAGGCUGUCUCCACCCGAGACUCAGUGAAAUUGAACUCGCUGUGAAGAUGCAGUGUACCCGCGGCAAGACGGAAAGACCCCGUGAACCUUUACUAUAGCUUGACACUGAACAUUGAGCCUUGAUGUGUAGGAUAGGUGGGAGGCUUUGAAGUGUGGACGCCAGUCUGCAUGGAGCCGACCUUGAAAUACCACCCUUUAAUGUUUGAUGUUCUAACGUGGACCCGUGAUCCGGGUUGCGGACAGUGUCUGGUGGGUAGUUUGACUGGGGCGGUCUCCUCCUAAAGAGUAACGGAGGAGCACGAAGGUUGGCUAAUCCUGGUCGGACAUCAGGAGGUUAGUGCAAUGGCAUAAGCCAGCUUGACUGCGAGCGUGACGGCGCGAGCAGGUGCGAAAGCAGGUCAUAGUGAUCCGGUGGUUCUGAAUGGAAGGGCCAUCGCUCAACGGAUAAAAGGUACUCCGGGGAUAACAGGCUGAUACCGCCCAAGAGUUCAUAUCGACGGCGGUGUUUGGCACCUCGAUGUCGGCUCAUCACAUCCUGGGGCUGAAGUAGGUCCCAAGGGUAUGGCUGUUCGCCAUUUAAAGUGGUACGCGAGCUGGGUUUAGAACGUCGUGAGACAGUUCGGUCCCUAUCUGCCGUGGGCGCUGGAGAACUGAGGGGGGCUGCUCCUAGUACGAGAGGACCGGAGUGGACGCAUCACUGGUGUUCGGGUUGUCAUGCCAAUGGCACUGCCCGGUAGCUAAAUGCGGAAGAGAUAAGUGCUGAAAGCAUCUAAGCACGAAACUUGCCCCGAGAUGAGUUCUCCCUGACCCUUUAAGGGUCCUGAAGGAACGUUGAAGACGACGACGUUGAUAGGCCGGGUGUGUAAGCGCAGCGAUGCGUUGAGCUAACCGGUACUAAUGAACCGUGAGGCUUAACCUUACAACGCCGAAGGUGUUU
rnacentral:rRNA from 1 species